UGAAGGUAGUGGCCAGAAAUAUAGCUGUCAAAUAUGCGGAGGGACUGUUGUGUGGCUAUUUUACUGUGGGUGCACCAAAAGUGUCAGGCUUACGUUCGAGUCGAAUGUGCUCCGCCGCGACAGACUGUGGCUAAAAUAAAGUUCUGAGUGCCGAGGAGGCGUUGGAAGUGUUUUGGAGCCUUCCAAAAGUGUCGGGUAGCGAAUGUUCCGACAGUGACGAGCUCGACCCUUUGUUCACACCUGCGCUCGCUCCAGCACUCCAGCUCCAGCAGGCAGGGUCCAACAAAUGGUGGCAUCGAAUCUUCUGCUUCAUGACUGACGCAUGCAUGGUCAAUGCAUUCAUUCAGUACUCUGCUCAUCACACAGUCGAGUACCUUCUGUUCAGGACCCUCGUUGGCCGUCAGCUCAUCCAACGGCAAACGUUCCGCACUGGCCGCAGAUCUCUGCAGGAGAACUACAAACGAAAGCUGGGACAAAGGAAUGGCACUACAAUGACUGGUGUCCUUGAUGAGGUUCCCCUCAAUGGACGAAACCAUUUUCCCAAGCAAUGUGACACACGAAGGAGGUGCCGUUGGUGCUCAACGAAAGACGGGGAAAGCCGCACCAAAUAUAUGUGUAGGGCCUGCGAUGUCCCCCUUUCCAUCAACUGCUUCUGAGGGUUUCAUUUGGUAAAAUGAAGCAAACCUGUGGAUGCCAAAUAGCA